rnacentral:rRNA from 1 species
UACGGAAGGGGCAAGCGUUGUUCGGAAUCAUUGGGCGUAAAGGGCGCGUAGGUGGUUCUGUAUGUCUACCGUGAAAGCGUACGGCUCAACCGUAUUUUGUCGGUAGAAACUGCAGGACUUGAGGCUGGGGGGGGCUGGUGGAAUUCCCUGUGUAGCGGUGAAAUGCGUAGAGAUGGGGGAGAACACUCGUGGCGAAGGCGGCCAGCUAGACCAGUUCUGACACUGAGGCGCGACAGCGUGGGGAGCAAACAGG